rnacentral:misc_RNA from 1 species
CUGUCACUGUCAAAAGUCCAACCAACAACAAAACAACAAACAGAUGUUAAUUUUUUAAUAAAUUACCAAUUAAUUAUCCUCCAACCACUUGAAACGUAUUCAAUAUUUUUUCAAGUUCUCCAUUAUUCUAUCCAUUACCAACUCAAUAAGUAUUUCUUCAAGAGUCAUAAUUCAUACCCUAUAGAUGUCCAACGUUAUUCCACCUUUGUUGAGCGACACUCCUCCACCACCACCGAUUGAUGAUCAUGAGGAAGACGAUGAAUUCGGCGACUUUGCUGGUUCAAAUAAUUUGUCCAUCGACUGUGAUGACAGUUAUUCACCACCAGGGACCCCAUUAGAGAUUCCCACGGUGCCCUUUGAUUUGGACCCCGAUCCUGCCCCACCCAACAAAACCUGUAAGAGUUCAUCGGUGACAAAAGAUUUUCAUGACAAGAGAAAAGACUCUGAUUCACCCCCACUGUUAAAUGGUAUCCUAGAGGAUUUAAAAUUGCCUGAACAUGUAAAUAAUAUUGAUACUGCCGAAACUGUAACAGAUCAUCAAGAAAUCAACUGUGAUAUUCAAACCUCUUUUAAUAAUGUGCAACAGCUGGAGGUUGAGGAGAUUAGUGAGGAGCCUUGUGUGUGUGAUAAAGUGAUUAAUGAGUUGGAAAGUGUAAAGCAAUUCGAUGAAGAAUGCAAUAAUAGCAGUAUUUUACAAGAAUCAGGAGAUAUCGUGACCUGUAUUACUCUUGACAAUAAACCUUUAGAGAAAGUUGAAACUAAGGAAAAUAUAAAUGAUUUUGCUGUCAAUUUAGAUGAUGAGUUUGCUGAUUUUUCUUGUGCCCCUGCUGAAACAGAUUCAGACGAUUUUGGAGAUUUUACUUCCAUCACGAUAGUUACACACCAGGAUAAUUUUGCGAGUUUCCCUGAGACCCCUCCGAGUCCAACUGAGGACGACGACUUUGGGGAUUUUGCCUCCAUUUCAACCUUGCCAAUGGCCGAACCUCCUCAAUCAAGAGUUUUAUUAUUAAAUGAAAAACAAGCACUGGAAAAGUCAACGGAAAUAGUUAAGGAAAUGUUUCCAGUGCCGCAAAUGGCGGUGCCCGAUUUCCGGGAGGGGAAUUUUGAAGAAACUGAUAAGGUUUUUAAUCAGAUCAAGAACAUUACCGAGACACACGCUUUGGCUUACCAGUGGUCCAAGUCGGCAAGUCAGAACUUACUUUUGAAGGCUUUGAAUAUUGAUUCAAGGAAUAUUUUGUUUGGUCCUGGUUGGAACCCCUCGAUGCCCCGGUUUGCAGCCAACUUGAGCCUCACCCCACUAGAACCGGUUAAAUCGGAAAUCCUGACGCCCGUUCCUGUAAGGGAGCCUCAAAAACUAUCUACCGCACCCACGAAUUUGCCUGGUUUUGAUCUUGGAUUAAGUGAAAAUACUGAAUCAUUAUCGACUAAAGAAACGCUCACCAAGAUGGAUCCCCAACAACCCUUAGAGCCAACCACAGUGCAACCAACCAAAUCAGACUUGGAACAUUCAGCGUCAAUCCUCCAAGAUGAUUUCGAUGAUUUCGUAUCGUAUUCGCCCCCAAGGGAGAGUCCCCCCGGGCACAACAUCAUCCUUAGGGAGACCCACAUAUCCAACAAGGAACCCGACAUCGUCAGUUGGCUGGAGCCGACGAUCGUUACCCCGGAACUAACCAGGAAAGAUCGCGGUGGGCAAUUCGUGGAACCCGAGGAGGAUUUCGACGAGUUCCAGAUGGUGGUGGUACCAGAAGCGAGCACCUCUUUAAAAGUGCAACCCCUGGAAGCUUCUGAGGCAAAACCACAGAUUGAAGAUGAUUUUGGAGACUUUACGUCUUACGCUUUACCUAAAAGUGAACCGGUGGUGCUGCUUCAACCGACUGUUAUCGAAUCGAAACCACUAGUGAGCUGGCCCGAUCCCGGCAUCACCGAUGACGAAAUCAGACGUUUCGAGGCUUUGGGGCACCUCAGAGAGAAGAGCAAGAAAGACGAAAGUGGCAAGAAAGUGGAAGAGGAGGAGGAGGAGGACGAAUGGUCGGAUUUCGUGUCGGUUAAUCAGUCACCGGUGCACAAACUGAAAACCGAAAAGGAACGCUGCUCGACCCCCGAUUUGCCGCUGUCAGUGUUAAACUUGGGCAGCGUGCAGCCCGCCAAACAGCCCAUACCUGUGAUAACCCCCAACGGACUGGUGCAGACCAAAUUAUCCUCGAAAAUCCCCCUAAACAUCCCCAAUAUGGCGACGAGUAAAGUGUACCCCCAGAUCCCGAGUCAUCCCCCGAAACUUCAGCCCUCGAUCAUUAGUCAUCAGUACGGGAAUUACAUGGCCGCCAACAGUGGGAAAUCCAACGGGGACGAGGACGAGUGGAGCGACUUCGUGUCCCACCAAUCGGCGACUGGAACGGGAUUUCCGGAAACGACGCGCAAAGUCACCGGAAAUGGGGCAGCGGUGUCACCGUCGAUGCCGGAACUUGAUUUUUUGACGCCGCGUCACUUGCAGUGGACUGCCACCGGUCACCGGAAAUGACCAAAGGAGCAGGUCAUCUUGUAAAAUUAGAACGUAAACGUCGGUAUUCGGUAAGAGAAGAUCCAACGCGUCGUCACAGAGUUUUUAUUUAUUACGAUAACUAAUCGUUUCACUGUGUUAUUUUUAUCUUAAGGAACACACUCCUGAAUUUUCUUUCAGUAUUAAGGAACACACCCUAUAUAUCGUCGCUUUGGUUGUGAACUGUUCUAAUCCACAUAAGCCAAAACUGAAGCUAGUGCGCUUUUAAAAAACUUAUAUUUUCUUUUCUGGAAUAUUUAAAAAAAAAGGAGCGAAUAUAACAGUUUUUGUAAAAUUUCUAUUUAAGUAUCACACUUUUUAUGUGGAUGGUUUUAUUUUAGGAUUAUAAACUUUAGGUUUUAUGUGGCUUGGCUAUAUUCACUACAACAAAUUUGGUUGUUCUGUCAUAUUAUUUUAAGGUAUGAAAAGGUCUAACAGUUUAAUGUUUAAAAUGAUGAUAACUCAGCAUUUAUUAUAAAUAUUAGUGGUACAGAAAGUAUAAAAAUAACCGCAAUUCAAACUGUGAGUCUUUGACCAUAUCGGAUUUAACUUGAACCUCAUCAGUGGUUCUUUUAUUGCAAUUUUAAAUGAUUCUUUUACUCUAAAAUCCAAAUUUGAUUUAUCUGAGUUUAACGGGUCACGAAUGACAGUAUGUCAAAGUCUUAUACUUUUUAGUUAUAUUAUUUGUUGACAGUCAAUUUUCGAUUUUUCGUCGGUUAGAACUGUUCACCAAUAAUGCGACGAUAUAUCUUUCAGCGGGACAGUGAUUUGAAAAGUAACGACAUUAACUGGUAAUAGAAGGUAUAUCCGCUAGUAACCUGUUGAAGGUUCUGGUAGGUCACUAAAGUUUGUCAAUAACGCAAUUCGUGGUUGACAUAAGAACGUUGUCACUUGUGGUACAGUAAAAUGGUUUUUGGUCUGUAACCAGAUUAUUUUAGCUUUUUAGUAUUUUUCGUACUUAAUUAAAGGGUUCCAAGAGCCCAAAGUGUACAUAAUUGCUUAUAAUUUAUUUUACAUGUUGCUUAAGUGAUAUUUGAUUGCAUAAUUAUUUAUAUGUUUUAGAAGUUAUGUAAUGGGCAAAUCUUAACUUAUUCCUUCUAAUUUUAACGUUUUUUUUGGGCGUAUCCUGUUGCAACAGAUAAACAAUUUAAUUAUAAUAGAUGGGUGCCAUCUUGGCUCAUUCGGCAUUUUGACAAAGUAAGAAUGGGUUUUAAAUCAUUCCUUUAUAAUAAACUCCAAAUUUGAAAUAUGUGGCUUUUAAGGGUCACGAAUGACAGCUUGUCAAAUUUGAGCCUUUUUACACCGUCACUGAACGAGAUAUGGUUUUCAAAAAUUGGUGUUAUUUUGUUGCUUGAAGAAUUAGUAACAAAGUGUUUCUUUUAUUGUAUUUUUAUAUCAUUCGUUUAUAAUAAAAUUCAAAUGUAAAAUAACUGACUUUGACAGGUCAUGAAUGACAGUUUGUCAAAGUUUAGCCUUUUUUCACUCUCAAUAACUCUGAGACAUGAUUUUCAAAAAUUGCUGUAAUUUUGUUACACUAACGUUUAGCAACAAAUGGUUUCUUUUAUUAUAAUUUUAAAUCAUUAUAUUAUUAUAAAAUUCAAAUUUGAAAUAUCGGACUUUGACAGGUCAUGAAUGACAGCUUGUCAAAGUUGAGCCUUUUUUCACUCUCAAUGACUUCAAAACAUGAUUUUCAAAAAUUGCUGUAAUUUUGUUACUCUAACGUUUAUCAACAAAUGGUUUCUUUUAUUAUAAUUUUACAUCAUUAUUUUACCAUAAAAUUCAAAUUUGCAGUAUCGGACUUUGACAGGUCAUGAAUGACAGCUUCUCAAAGUUGAGCCUUUUUUCACUCUCAAUGACUCUGAAACAUGAUUUUCAAAAAUUUCUGUAAUUUUGUUGUUCUAACGUUUAUCAACAAAUGGUUUCUUUUAUUAUAAUGUUACAUCAUUAUUUUACCAUAAAAUUCAAAUUUGCAGUAUCUGACUUUGAAAGGUCAUGAAUGACAGCUUGUCAAAGUUGAGCCUUUUUUCAUUCUCAAUAACCCUGAGGCAUGAUUUUCAAAAAUUGCUGUAAUUUUGCUACUCUAACGUUUAUCAACAAAUGGUUUCUUUUAUUAUAAUUUUACAUCAUUAUUUUACCAUAAAAUUCAAAUUUGAAGUAUCCGACUUUGACAGGUCAUGAAUGACAGCUUGUCAAAGUUGAGCCUUUUUUCACUCUCAAUGACUCUGAAACAUGAUUUUCAAAAAUUGCUGUAAUUUUGUUACUCUAACGUUUAUCAACAAAUGGUUUUAUUUAUUAUAAUUUUAAAUCAAUAUUUUACCAUAAAAUUCAAAUUUGAAGUAUCUGACUUUGACAGGUCAUGAAUGGCAGCUUGUCAAAGUUGAGCCUUUUUUCACUCUCAAUGACCCUGAGGCAUGAUUUUCAAAAAUUGCUGUAAUUUUGUUACUUUAACGAUUAGCAACAAAUGGUUUCUUUUAUUAUAAUUUUAAAUCAUUAUUGUACUAUAAAAUUCAAAUUUGAAGUAUCUGACUUUGACAAGUCAUGAAUGACAGCUUGUCAAAGUCAAGCCUUUUUUCACUCUCAAUGGCCCUGAGCCAUGAUUUUCAAAAAUUGCUGUAAUUUUGUUACACGAACGCUUAGCAACAAAUGGUUUCUUUUAUUAUAAUUUUACAUCAUUAUUUUACCAUAAAAUUCAAAUUUGAAGUAUCUGACUUUGACAGGUCACGAAUGACAGCUUGUCAAAAUUGAGCCUUUUUACACCCUCAAUGCUUAAGACAUGGUUUUCAAAAAUUGCUGUAAUUUUGUUGCUUUAAUGUUUAGCAACAAACGGUUUCUUUUAUUGUUAUUUCUAAUCAUUCCUUUACAAUAAAUUCUAAAUGUGAAUUGUCUAUUGCAACAGUUAACCUUAAAAUCUCUAGCGCCAUAGACGCCAUUUUGAAAAAAUAGGAAUGGGAUAAGGGGGAAAAGAGUUCAUAAAUCGAUGUUCCGUACUUUCUUUGCAAUAUACGCCGAGUGAGAUCGUUUCUAAUAUAAAGUUUCUACUAUUUAGUCAAUAAUUUAAUGGACGUAAAUGUGAAAAAAAACGGUGAUAUUUACUGAUUUUCCUCCCGAAUUAACUCACACAAUUUAUAUACAUCAAGUUCACGUUUCAUUUUUUAGGUACCGCAGCUUAAAAACAAUUUGUAAAUAUUGUAAAGCAUAUUGUUACUGUAUACAUUCCAAAAUAAAUUUAAUAUUAUUUAAAA